rnacentral:lncRNA from 1 species
AUACUCCCUCCGUCCCUAUUUAUCUGUCCACUUUGGAAGUAAAAAUUUGUCCCUAUUUAUCUGUCCAUUUAUACUUUCAAAACUAAUUUAAUGAUAGUUUUUCAAAUAUAUCUCCAUAAUUUCCAUUUUCAAGGCUUGACUUAUUUAAAACUUGGUUGAAUUCAUGUUUUCGAGACAUAAAGUAGAGGUAUUCCACCAUUUUCAAGAUAUUAAUUAGAGGUAUUUAAUGAAAAAGUUCAUACAAUCAAGGAAUACCUUGGUAUGUGUUUUUUUCUCCAAAAUGGACAGAUAAAAAGGGACGGAGGGAGUAUAUAAUUAAUUAUAAAAAAUAUAUAAAAACAAGAAACAACAUAACAAUAAUAAUGACAGAGGAUCACCAAAUCUCGGCACUUGCAUCACGAUUCACAAACCUUAUCACACCAGACUCAUGUUCGCCGGCUAGGCCGGCCCACAACAACUAUAUACUCCCUCCGUCCCUUUUUAUCUGUCCAUUUUGGAGAAAAAAACACAUACCAAGGUAUUCCUUGAUUGUAUGAACUUUUUCAUUAAAUACCUCUAAUUAAUAUCUUGAAAAUGGUGGAAUACCUCUACUUUAUGUCUUGAAAACAUGAAUUCAACCAAGUUUUAAAUAAGUCAAGCCUUGAAAAUUGAAAUUAUGGAGAUAUAUUUGAAAAACUAUCAUUAAAUUAGUUUUGAA